rnacentral:tRNA from 2 species
AAAGGAAUGGCUCAGUUGGUAGAGCGCGACCUUGCCGAGGUCGGGGCUGGGCGGGUAGCCUCGCGAGUUCGAGUCUCGUUUCCCGCUCCA